rnacentral:lncRNA from 1 species
AUUUCCAUAUUAGCCAAAGCAUUGUUCUUCUUCUUUUUGAGGCAAUCGGGGUUAAGUGACUUGCUCAGGGUCACACAGCUAGUAAGUAUCCGAGGUUGGAUUCGCACCCGAGUCCUCCUGACUCCAGGACCGGUAUAAGCAUGGCUAGUCUUCAAGGGAUGUGCAAAGGUGGCGUGGGGGGUGUUCGUGCUGGGCCUCGAUGGUCAAGGCUGACUCUAAGUUCUGCCUGGAGUGCAGCCCAGACAUAAGGUAAACCAUUUUCGUCUAUUUAAUCUCAGAAGCUAGGACAGAGCUCAACACAUAGUGGGGCACUUGAUCAAAUGCUUGGUCGAAUGAAUGAACCUGGGCCAGGGCUGGGGGUGGGGAGCAGUUCCUUCUGCAGUUAAGAAGCAUCUUCCGUUUCUUCAGCUAUGUGUGGCACGACUUGAACCCCGGGUAUCAGUGUUGGUGGAUGCAGUACGUAGCCUCCGCAGGUGACGUCCUGAUGCUGUAGCUGCAUUUCCCCAACACUGACACUUGGGAUUCAAUUCGCACUACUUAUAGAUGAAGAAACUGAGACUCGGAGAGAUUAAGGGACCUGCCCAAGGACCCCGAGUGCUUUGUGCUACAGCGGAGGGACGUCGCCUCCCUCCUUACCUGGGACACCUCCCCUCUCGGCUCCGGCCUUGCCCCAGGAUUGCGCUCAAUGAGCACUUUGCAGCCGGCUUCACCGGACUUGGACGCAGGAGACCCCCUGGGUUGGGCUUUCUCGAGAGUGGCAGGGGAGGGGGCCAAUGGGAGGUGAGCAGAAGCCUCGCCCCGCCCCUCCAUGAGCGCAGGGGCCGCGCACCUGGGCUCCAGACUCCGGACUUUGCUGCGCUUUCGAAGCCCCAACGAGCGUCCGCGCGGGCGACCCGGGCCCCUGCUCAGGUGGCUUUAGCCCAUUCAAUGGCAUCGUUUAAGGAGAAUUCUCUGCUUUUGCUUUGGCCUAGAUCAGAACCACCAUUAAAGCCGUAGCCUGCAGGGACAGUUUCAUUUUUCAUCUCUGAAGCCCCAUGCCCUUGCAGUGAAGGUAUUUGAUAAACGUUUGUUGAAUUGAAUUGACUUGGGUAUCCUCUUCUCCUGGCUUUUGCUCUUAUUUCUUCUGCUGGAACUGCUCCCUUGCUCCCCCUUCCCCUCCCCCAGUCUCUGCCCAUCAAAAGCCCACUGUCUUUCAAGGGUCAGUAAAAAGGCUGCCUUUGUGAAGCCUUUCCCAGUCUGUGGAUCUCUUUCUCCGCUCCCUCCCUCCC